rnacentral:rRNA from 1 species
UACGUAGGUCCCGAGCGUUGUCCGGAUUUAUUGGGCGUAAAGCGAGCGCAGGUGGUUUAUUAAGUCUGGCGUAAAAGGCAGUGGCUCAACCAUUGUAUGCAUUGGAAACUGGUAGACUUGAGUGCAGGAGAGGAGAGUGGAAUUCCAUGUGUAGCGGUGAAAUGCGUAGAUAUAUGGAGAAACACCGGUGGCGAAAGCGGCUCUCUGGCCUGUAACUGACACUGAGGCUCGAAAGCGUGGGGAGCAAACAGG